rnacentral:rRNA from 1 species
AGAGUUUGAUCCUGGCUCAGGACGAACGCUGGCGGCGUGCUUAAUACAUGCAAGUCAACUGAACUUAAGAUAGCAAUAUUUUAAGGGAGGUGGCGCACGGGUGAGUAACACGUAGGUAAUCUGCCUUUAGGUCUGACACAACCCCGAGAAAUCGGGGCUAAUAUCAGAUGAUGCAGCGGCUCGACAUCGAGACAGUUGUUAAACCUUCGGGGCCUAAAGAUGAGCCUGCGUCUGAUUAGGUAGUUGGCGGAGUAAAAGCCCACCAAGCCUGCGAUCAGUAGCUGGUCUGAGAGGAUGAUCAGCCACACUGGAACUGAGACACGGCCCAGACUCCUACGGGAGGCAGCAGUGGGGAAUUUUGGACAAUGGGCGCAAGCCUGAUCCAGCAAUGCCGCGUGUGUGAAGAAGGCCUUCGGGUUGUAAAGCACUUUUGGCGGGAGCGAAACGGCGUUUGCUAAUACCAGACGCUAAUGACGGUACCCGCAGAAUAAGCACCGGCUAACUACGUGCCAGCAGCCGCGGUAAGACGUAGGGUGCGAGCGUUAAUCGGAAUUACUGGGCGUAAAGCGUGCGCAGGCGGCUUUGUAAGACAGGUGUGAAAUCCCCGGGCUUAACCUGGGAACUGCACUUGUGACUGCAAGGCUAGAGUGUGUCAGAAGGGAGGUGGAAUUCCGCGUGUAGCAGUG